rnacentral:tRNA from 1 species
CAGGGAGACAACAAAAUGUUCAAUAUUAUUUUGUCACCUUAGGUCGAUCGGUAUCUCACGUUCUUAAUUUAUUAAGAAUUUCAUUUCCUAAGUUUUUCUAGGUCACACCCAUUAUUUUUCCUGGGCCAUUAGCUCAGGUGGUUAGAGCGCACCCCUGAUAAGGGUGAGGUCCCUGGUUCAAGUCCAGGAUGGCCCAUAUCUCUAUGUUGGGGGUAUAGCUCAGUUGGUAGAGCGCCUGCUUUGCAAGCAGGAUGUCAGCGGUUCGAGUCCGCUUACCUCCACUGAUUACCACCUCUUCCAUAAUUUUUAGAAAAGGAAAUUUUUUGAGUUGUGAUCAAAUUCUGAACGAAUCCAGCUUCCUAAUGAAAUCAUUAAGAUGCUGGACUCAUUGAAUUAAUUUCAUUGUUUUCAGAGAACCUUGACAACUGCAUAGAUUAUUUUUAAAGACAAUAAGCAUCUUUAAUGAUGCAGAUUUUUUAUUUGUGCGAAUGCAUUAAUAACNAUUCUAUUAAGCUGAUGCUUCAAUAUUGAAGUUAUU